UUUGUAUAAAUAUUAUAUUACUAAAUUUAUUGCUACAUGUUAUAUAUUGAUAUAUAUGACAAUAUUAUGAUAAUAAUAUGUUAAUUUUAAUAAUAUUAUACUAAUAUAAUAUACAUCAUACUAUUUUUCUUUUCCUGAAGUGUAUAUACAUUUUUUGGUUGACUCUGUAUAUAUAAAUUGUGAACAUGAAGCCAUAUUUAAAAAAAGAAAUAAAUAAAGGGGAAAGAGCUUCUAGUGGACAUAGUGUAGUACUGCAGGAGUCAGGCCAAAGCCAUGUCUAGUCAAUGGACUGAUAAAUGUAAAAAUUUGUUGUGAGCCGUUAGUGCACCACAAAAUCAUGAAACUAAGCAAACUUACUCAACCAGUUGUUCCUUCUAUGUAAAAUGUUUUAAAAAAUUUGGACUUUCCACUGUUUAGAUAAGAACAUUCAUUUUCUUCUAUUAUGUCCUCACUAAAUCAACAUCAUUCACAAUAUCACAAAUUCCUUCACAGUUUCACAUCAGCCAUGUCUUGGCAUUAUUCUGACUGAUUUUGAACCAAAUCGCGUGAAAGUAAGGGACAAUACAUUCGAUUUCUAAAAGUGAAACACUUCCUGCUGCCAGUUGGUGGCGCUAUGACUGAGACUCAUAUUUGUCAUAUCGCUGUGAUCAGCUUUCUUCUCUUAACAUUACAUUGAAAUUUGAUGUACAUCACUCAAUGUACACAGAAGUUAUUAGCCACUUCCUGUUUCCUUUUAUUCGCCAUAAGUUUAAGGGCUCCUCACAGCUGAACCAUUUGAGAUAUCAAAAAUCCCUUGGCAAGUUUGCAUCAGCAAUGUCUUCAGAUCAUAUUGGAGCCUGUCAUUGGUCAAAAUCAUAUAAAUCCCCUAGGAGGAGUAUAUCAAAUUCUAAUGGGUGCAUUUUUCAAACAUCCCAAAAUAACUGACUUCCUGUUAAGCAGAUCCUGUAGAUUAGACUUAAUGACAUGCAAUGAGAAAGUUGUUCAGCUCAAUGAGAUCUAAGUGUGUACUACAUUUACACACUGGAUAUGUGCAAGUAUGUAUCAGCUUUGCAGCAAGAUUUUCCAGGGGGCGCUGUAAUGGGUGUGUGCCACGCCCAGGACCGAGCCACAGUGACGUCCUAAUGGCCACAGUUUCCAACCUGUCUGCUGAUUUUCAAGAGUUUUUGAGCAUGUUAAGGGGUCCAAAAUGCCCCGACAGGUUGAGAAAAAAUAUAUAAAAUUCUAACGAAAACAAUAGGGCUUCCGCCCUAUUAUAAACAAAUAAUCCUUAGAUAAACAAGAGGUCCCUUUGCACUGCUAGUUCUUGGGCCCUAAUAAUAAUAAUAAUAAUAAUAAUAAUAAUAAUAAUUAGAAGAACAAGAGGUCCCUUCGCACUGCUAGUGCUUGGGCCCUAAUAACUAAUAAUUAUUAGACUAAUAAUUUAGAAUAUUUGUGUAGAUUUGGUAAUGGCAUGGAAAAGGUUUAAACAUUUCACAUUUUAUGUUAGUCUACAAUAGUUUAGCCCAAUUUACAAUAUGAAGAAGAAAGUAAUCUAUUUUCUUGUACAAAAACUUUGAUAACUUUAGUCACAUUAAUUAUGUCCAAUAUUUCAAACUGAGGUGAACGGUCAGAAGUAAAACUUACCAUCCACCUCAGGUGCAUGCAGAGAUGCACAGGUGACAGUGAUUAUAUGAGUUUACUACACUCUUCACUUGCUGGAGUUUACACAUAAUGGUGCAAAACCAAAAACAUUGAGUGUCAAUAUUGUGGAUGGAAUUAACACCAUUAUUGUGGAUGAAGUUAACACUGCAUGAUUUUGUUGCAUGAUGAAGAUAAGUCAUCGGUUCGUUGUUUUUACACUGCACGACUAUCUAGGGUAGCAUUCAGUCACUGCUGUGUUCACACUGCAUGAUGGAUCGGCAACAGGAGGUUUCACACUGCAUGACUUCACAACAGGUAGAAUCGCCGACAACUGUGGUCCACAAACUGCGUUUCACAACUGAACGUACGCGAGAAAUAAUAAGGAAAUAACUCAAGAUCACAUGUGAGAUCAAAGUUCUUGUGAGAUUGAAAAUGGUACCCAGCAAAAAGGUCGCGAUCCAAAGGGUCUGUGCUGGGAACAAGGAUUGUGUGUUCUGCAUAAUUGGACAAAUGAAUAAUUUUGCAAUGUGCUGCUACUGAUGUGGCUGGUCAAGCAUUUCUAUUUGAUGUAAUUGUAAAGCUUAUUUAUUGUGAUAUAACUAUAUUUAAGAUAUUUUUUUCUGAUAAAAACUAUAGUUAAACUAUAAUAUUGUGCUCCAACCGAAGCCAUGCUUGCUGAUAUCGUGGUCUAUAACUCCUCCCCGAACCAUCCGCUGCUCUGUAUCUUGCUCUCUCAUUGGCUGUAGGUCAUCGCCGAGGUUUUUUUCAUUCAGAACUCCUUUCACACUGCACGAUUAUGACGACUCAUCAGCGACUCGCUCAGAUCGCGUCACUGGUAAUUCACACUGCGCGAUUGUCACUCGGUGUGCAUGAGUGCCGAUUUGCCUUCGAAUUUGGCCAUUUGUUGGAGACUUUGCAAAACUAGUCGGUGACUAAAAAUCAGGGCCAAAAUUGUGCAGUGUGAUCUAGGCAUUGUUAGAGGAAAACAGAUCGAUUGGUAUAUAUCCAAGAAGAAUAUAUAUUCACUGAGCACUUAAUUAGAAACACUUGUAAACCUACUCAUUGAAGCAAUUAUCUAAUUAGGCAAUUAUCUUGUCACUGUUCUUUAGCAGCCUUCACAGUCACUGGAUCUGAAACCAAUAGAACACCUUUGGGAUAUAGUAGUACAGGAGAUUGACAGCAUGAAAGUACACCUGAAAAUCUGCAGGAAUUGCAGGAAAGCAUGGACUAAAAUCUGGAUGAUUUUAAUGUGAAUGUGAAUCUUUUCAACAUCUUUUUGAAUCCAUGUCCAUCCAUGUCCACUGGGGAUGUUUUGAAAACAUAAGGCUCAGGUAGGCUGACAAACCACAUGAAUUUACUUUGCUUUUGCUACUGAUUAGAACAGAAGAGAUAUUAGUGAAAAAGUAUGAAAAAUUACAGUGAUACCUAGGCAGCUCCAGAGUAAAACCGUCCUUGAAUGUCCACACAGUGAGUGACCUAUGAUUCAAAUGCAACCAUUCUGCAGGCUUACAUGGCCUGAGAUUGGCAAGCUGAUAAUGUAGCUAAGCUCCAAAAAAAGUAAAGAGAAGGACAGAAAGCAGAUUCAAAAAAAGGAAGAAGAUGGGCAACUCAUGAAAGCAAAACUUCAGGCAAAUCAAGAGGUAAUGUCUAAGCCUCAGCCCAAAACAUGAUAUUGUUUCAAAUGUGGUAAUGAUUGCCACAUAGCCAGACAGCAUGGGAAUCCACCUAACAAUAUGGUUUAGUGGAUCAGAAUUUGGGGCCAAAGAGUUUGGGGCCAAGCAAAAUGUAUGGAAGCUGAAAUAUGGCCUGUCGUUAAACUGGAAAAGGUCCUCAGUAAAACUGUGAACAAAACAGAGAUCCAUGUAUAUGCAAAAGUAGAAGGAAAAAAAAAACAUUGAGUAAAAAAACAAAUAAUUGUUAUUUUCCAGACUUCCAUAAAAAUUACUAACAUUCAGAAAAGGGAGUUGAGACAACCCUUAAAAGAUAGCUGCAUUUACCUCCUGGCCCAGACCAAAUAACGUUUUGGAGCUGAAGUCCAUUUUGAGAUUUAGAGGAUGCUGUAGAAUGUUUGUAAGAGAAUGCUAAAAAAUUGUGAAACCUAUAAACAGCAAAACAGUGUUCAGUGAAACUAAUUGAUGGCUCACAUGUUUGUCGUUGCAACAGUUAAUUCAGAUGGGCCUGAGGGAUUUUACAAUUGUCAAUUGUCAGGAAAGUAAGCUAAUUAAAUGCAGUUAGUGCUGAUGCCCCUAGAUGGCAUUUAUCUCUUUUUGAGAAUACAUGGUCUAAUAACUUGUAUUAGAUAAUGUAGAGAGUGACUCUAAUGUUAAAUAUCAGUCUAACUAGUUAGUAUGCAGUCCAAAUAGGUUUUGAUGCAAUUGAAGGAGGCCAUCAUGUGGCUGAAAUAAAAAAAUAAAUAAAACAGAAACUUUAGGAAUGGCCAAGUCAGCAAUUAAAACGAGUGACACCAAAAUGCCUGGAACACCUUCAGAAGCCAACUAAAGUAAAUCAUCGCUGAAUUCUUUCCUUGGUGAAGAAAAACUCCCUCACAGCAUCUAGGCAAAAACACUUGUGGAGGUAGGUUUACCAUUGUCAAAGUCUACCUUCGUGAAUAUAAAUACAGAGAUUAUACCUCAAGAUGCAAGGCACUGGCAACACAAGAACAGAAAGGAUAGAUUACCCUUUGCUAGAAAACAUCUUAAAAAAAGUUUAACUAUCAGAAUAUUGGAAAGAGAUGAAUAUGGAUAAGAAAAGGACGGGCUCAUGAUCCCAAGCAUAACACAUCAUCUGUCAAAUGUGGUGUUAUGGCAUGGGCAUGUAUAGCUGCCAGUGAAACUGUUUCCCUAAUGGUUGAUUGAUGAUCUGAUUGCUGACAAGUGUGUAGAAAAAUACAUUUAAAAUAAAAAAAAUUUACUUUCUAUACUUUCAAUUCAGCAUGGUUUUAACUUAUUUAAUACACAAUUGAAGGCAGAAAGUCCCACAAACAGACAAGUGAAGUGAGCAAUGAUCUGCAAUAAAUGUUUUGCAUGUUUUGGUAUUUAUAUUAUACCUUUUUUUUUUUGUCAUCAAUAAUUUUGUGCUGCCAUGUGGGUUUGUUGUAUUUUUCACUUUCCUGUCACAAUAAAUUUUUUUAAACAAUGUUUUUUUUUUUUCUGAGUAAAGGCAGCAAGUAGAGUCUAUCCACAUUGUGUUUUUUGAAAAAAUAAAUAAAUAAAUAAAUUGCCCUAUAUUCAGAUUUUCUAAGGUCGGCUAUAAAUACUCAUUAUGGCAAACAUUCAGCUGGUUCUGUUAGUUAGUUUCAGGAUAUUUAGUCAUUCUUCCUACACCGUUAGUAGUAGUGCCAGGGCGCUGAACAUAGCAGGUAAUCUUAGGGUCUUAGGCAAACAUAGAUUCUCUGAUGUAGAGUUAAUGAUAUACACUAUAUUGCCAAAUGUUUUGGGAUACCCCUCCAAAUCAUUGACUUCCAUGGCCACAAUUGUAUAAAAUCAAGCACCUAGGCAUGAAAACUGCUUCUACAAACAUUUGUGAAAUAAUAGGUCACACUCAGGAGCUCAGUGAAUUCAAGCAUGGUACCAUGAUAGAUGGCAUCUCACCCACAAAGUGGUAGGCCAUGUAAAAUCACAGAGCAGGGUUAGUGCAUGCUGAGGAACACAAUGCGCAGAAGUCACCAACUUUCUGCAGAGUCAAUACCUGCACACCUCCAAACUGUGUGUGGCCUUCAAAUUAGCUCAAGAACAGUAAAUAAAGAGCUUAAUGGAAUAGGAUUUCAUGGCUGAGCAGCUGCAUCCAAGCCUUACAUCACCAAGUGCAAUGCAAAGCGUUGGAUGCAGUGAUGUAAAGCAAUGGACGAGUCUGGUUUUGGCAGUUGCCACAAGAACGGGACUUGCCUGACUACAUUGUGGCAAGUGUAAUGUUUGGUGUAUGGGGAUUAUGGUGUGGGGUUGGGACUCUUAAGGAACUCUUAAUGCUUCAGGAUACCAAGACAUUUUAGACAAUUUCAUGCUCCCAACUUUGUAGGAACAGUUUGGAGAUGGCCACUUCCUGUUCCAAGAUGACUUCGUACCACUGCAUAAAGCAAGGUCCAUAAAGACAUGGAUGAGCGAAUUUGGUGUGGAGGAACUUGACUGGCCUGCAAAGAGUCCUGACCUCAACCCGAUAGAACACCUUUGGGAUGAAUUAGAGCCGAGACUGCAAACCAGGCUUUUUUUGUCCAGUAUCAGUGCCUGAACUCACAAAAUUCCCAUAAACACAAUCCUAAACCUUGUGGAAAGCCUUCCCAGAAUAGUUGAAGCUGUUAUACCUGCAAUAUAAACCCUAUAUUAAAUGCUACAGAUUGAGAAUGGGAUGUCAUUAAAGUGCAUGUAAAGGUUGACGUCCCAAAACUUUUGGCAAUAUAGUGUAUGACUUUGUCAGUCAGGUUACUAAGAGUAACAUUGUAGAAGUGUGCAUAUUAGUGAAGUUGAUGUCCAGUGCUAUGUUCUGACCCCAUCCCAAUCCAGAGUGGUAAUGUAGGUUACACCAGGUUAUGGUCACUAUACUGCAGGAUAGCUAGGUGGAAAGCAAUGUGGGCUUUAUAGAUACAGUGAAACCUUGACUUACGAGUGACUCAACUUACAAGUUUUCCGAGAUACGAGCUGUCGCUCGGUCGAUUUUUUGCUUUAAGAUAUGAGCCGAGAUCUGAUUUACAAGCGAGCGAGCUUACGCCACCUGCCACUUGGUAGCCCAGCGAGUGGUUAGUUCACGUGGUUAUCUCUCCAGGUCGUUCGUUGGCACUGUGUAACGACACUUGCCUCACUUAUUUUCCAAACAUUUUGAAAAGGAGGAAGAAACAAACCUCCUUGGACAGGUUUUUAUUGAAACACCCUGCAAGUGAAAGCGAGGAAAGUGUGGCAAAAAAGGCAAAAGUCAGUGAAGAUGAUUAAGUGAAGUGAAAAAAAAAUAAAUAAAUGAAAAAGUAGCAAUUAUGUUUAGCGAUAAAGUGUAGCAUAGUGUGUAAGUUAAAUUUAGCAAUUAAUUGUAGCAUUAAGUGUGUAGCGAGUAAGUUAAGUUAGUGAUAGAGCACAAAAUAAAAAAUUCCUCUGCCACCCUCCUCCGCCAGCAUCUUCAUCUGAUCUUCAAGGCAAAUACACUUUAAUAAAACCAGUUUUUCUUUACAUUCUCUUUUAUUAUGUAUUAUUAUUAUUUUAUACAUUAUUUGUUAUUCAUAAAGUAUGUUUUUCUUAUUUAAAAAACGUGACAAAAAUUGUUGUGGUUUUUGGUGGGCUGGAACGGAUUAAUAGCAUUUAAAUUCAUUUUAAUGGAGAAAUUUGAUUUGAUAUACGAGCAAAUUGAGUUACGAGCUCGGUCACAGAACGAAUUAAACUUGUAAGUCAAGGUAUUACUGUAAUUGGAGCAGUUUUGACAGCAAGACUGUCCUGGGUGGGUGCAAAAUUUGUUGCUCUCAUUUAUUUGCAACAUAGCACAUGGUCUCAGUAUAGACCUAUUUAACUGGUGACAAUCUGAAGCAAAGGCUAGGAAACAGACAAACAGACUAACUUAACCCUCUACUAGCUGAAAUGACGUAAGGUUGUAUAAAGCGCCAUAAAUUGGAUUUAAUUUUUCUAUUUAAGGAUAUUUAAUCGCUCGCUCGCCCUUAAUAUUUAAGGAUGAACGACGUAAAACAGGGCACUACUGUACUUACAUAACAUUAUGUAGCCACAAAAAACAAGUCUAUUAAGACAAACAAUAUUCUGAAUUUCUCUGUGAAUUUUUGGAUUUCAUAUUAAACCUAGAUGUUUCUAUACAUGAAGCAUUAAUUGUUGGAGACUUUUCCCUCUGAAAAGAGCAGCUGGGUCCAUCCUAAAUUCAGUACUGAUUGAUCAGUGUAAUAUGUCUCACUCAAAAUGGUGAUUACACUAUUGAUAUCCUGAUAACAUUCAGAUAAAUAUAGUAUUUAAUAUCCAUAUUUAAUAUGGAAAUACAUUUCCACAGUUUGAAGCUAUUUCAGACCAUUAUCUUUACAGAGAGGUCUUUCAGUAGUCUCUAGUGAUCCAGUGAUCCAUUAUUGGAUCAUUGUCUGACCCCACAGAACAGAUCAGGCAACUCAGUCCAAGGGUAGUCUACUCUAGUUCUUUCCCCCCUUUCUGAAUCCUUAUGUCCCCUUGUUCUAAAUCACAUGUUUAAAUGUGAUGGUCUCUUUUACAAAUGGGAAUUAGAAUGGGAAGCUUUAUGAUUGUCAUUUAACUGUUUAGCAGGCUGCUUUGCACCAACAGAUGGCCAGGAGAGAGUUGACAUUUGACAUUUAAACUGUCAUGGUUACAUGUGAAAGUCUGAGUAACAGAAAUAACAGAAGUGAUUAACAGGUAGCCUAAAGCACCCUUAUCUAUUCAGGUAACCCUCCCUUCAGAAAACAGUAAAUCACUUAAGUACACUAGGAAAAGUAACCAAGUAUUAAUUUUUGAGGGCUCUAAUGCCGGAGUUGGGGGGUUACUAACUACUUACUACUUUAAGGCAUCCAGGCAUCCCCCUACAGACACUACACUACACUCGCUAUCACUAACCCUCUCUAGUGUCUGGAUGUGCACCUCAAAAGCUAAUAUCUUCUCCUUCAGAGAGCUAACUAGCAUACACUUAUCACAAUUAAAAUUAACGCCAACUUCGGAGGAAGAAUUACUAAACAUCCUGCAGCUCACACACUGUACAAGCUGAAGUUGGUCAUACUUUAUGAUUAAGCACCUUAGAAGUAAGCGCUUCAAAUACAGGAAGUGACGUCUGUGUUUGAGAUGUCUGAGAUCUGUCUCUCUUAAAUGUUCAUGAAAGUAAGGGUUUCCCUGUUAAUGUAUUGGUUUUCAGUCUUUAACAGCCAGAAAUUUCAGUUAAAAUAACAGGAUUCAUAUAUCUUGGCACUCUGCCCUCUCUUGUAUUUGCAUUUUUUUUUCUCCUUUGUUAGAUCAGUUUGACUUAGAAGCAGAACAAUUUAUCUUUAUUACUGACUGAUUGAAUUAAUGUAGUGAACAUGAAUAUUUUGCCUAGAUUUCUUUGUUUUUCAGUAUAAUCCUUUAUUUCUUCUGAAGCAUUUUUGAAAUCUAUGGGCCAGGUGAUGAGAAGAUUCUAAGAAUCACAGAGAGAUCCCAGUUUAGCUUAAAAAAUUCUAAAUAGGAGUCCUAGCCUAAGAGUGAUUCAGGACCAAUCUCAGCAAUCUUAGAGAGGAGGCAGGGCUGACCCCAUUGCUCCAAUAAAAAAUGAGCUCUUUAAAUAGGGUCCACUAAAACCUUCACCUUGUCACUACAUUAAGACAUUUGAGGAUAUAUAAUGUUGGAAUUAUGUUUGUGACCGAUCAUAUUAGAGAUAUCUCAGACAUGGCACAGAAAUGCCAUAGUUCAUAUAUUUAAAAUCACUGUCAUUAUUAUAUAUUUUAUGCAACACCAUUUCUUUUCCCUCUUCACCUUUUGGCCAUUUUCUCCUCUGCUAAAGGAUCUCUUAAGCCUCUUAAAAGUCCUAACACCUUUUGACCUUAAGAGCUCUUUUAAGGGAUAAAAUGCUUUGUAAAUAACCUUUAUUUAGUUAUUAAUUUUCGUCUUUACUAGGAAUUUUCAUGAAUACAUGUGCAGAUCAUUUGUGGGGUGGUAAAGUUCAUAGAUGUUGGCUUAGUGGUGGGCUUGCAUUACCCAACUGUGUGUUUUAUAACUUUUGGCAAACAAUGCUAAAAUCUAAUGCUAAAAUGUUAAAAUCAAAAUCUCUCAGUUUAUUCAGAAUUAUAAGUAUAUAUACACAAAAAAUAAAAUUCUACUGUAUAUUAAACUUUGAGUUAUAUAACCUUAUUUUUAAGGCAUUUUUCUUCUUCUUGCGUAUUACACUACACGUGUAAUACACAAGUAGUAGUUGUGUAUUACACGUGUAUAUUCAUUAAAGUUGUAUUAACAGCAUAGUUCCAGCUGUUAAAAACUUAAGUAUUUGCCAUAUUUCCAAACUUUGGAAGUGGAUAAAAGAUAAAAAGGAAUCAUGUUAGGUGCUUGAUGAUCAAUUAUACAAUGGUUUGAUACAGUUCAAUGACCAACCGGAGAGCUUCAGAGCCUGGCAACAGUCCUUUCAAAAUGCUGUAACUGGUUUGAAUUUGACACCCAGUUAAGAAAUGGACCUGUUAGGUAAAUGGUUGGGGAAAGAAUCUGCUGAACACGCUUAACGCAUGAGGUCAAUACUCAUUAUUCAGCCAUCAAGGGGCCUUGACAUGAUAUGGUCUAGAUUGGAGGAGUGUUACGAUGCUCCAGAGGUUAUUGGGUUUAACUUUUCUUCUCAAACAGAUUCACUUUAUAAAACAAACAGGGUCAGUUUGAAGCCAAGCAAGUCAAGAGAAAUCUCAGUUAAUUAAAUAAAUGUGUCUUCCCCUUUACAUUUAAACACAGAUAAAGAUGAAAGGAAAACUAAGGAUUCUGAAAGACUUUGUCCCAUUCACAAAAGACCUCAGUUACUUAGGAAAUGUUGUUCCUUCUGUGAGAAGCCUUUGGAUGAAGAUUUUGCAUUUUUGAAAGGAAAGAGAAUCUGUUUCAAGUGUUGCUUAGCCACAACACACACAGCUAAGUAAAUGUAAAUGUAAAUUUGUGACUAAGAGUUCUGAGUGUGGAAGUGAGAAGCAUAUUUCUGCACUACACCUAGGCCCACCUCCAAAAUCUCAAGAAGCUGCUUCCUUACCACAGCAUGGCGGGGAGGAAGUUUCUACACCACCAACAGAAGUGCAAGCUCACUGCACUGAGGUUUGCAGAGGUGACCUUAGUAAUAAGUCAUGUUCAAAAAUCAGUUUGGCAUAGAUGGAAAGGUAAUCCUCUCUUUACCAAGCUUGUUAGAGUGUAACAACAUUCCUGACAAUAGGGCAGAGAUUCCCACACCUAGUGCUGCUCUCCAUCACUAGCAUCUGAAACCUGAGUUAGAGUCAGAUAUUCCCAUCAUGAUUCUUCUGGGUCGUGACAUUAUCAGAGUCCAUAAGGUGGAAUUGGAAUUUACUGGAAAUUGAAGGAGCAAAUGGGCAGUCAGUUCCCUACUUGGGCGAUGUGGAACUCUGACAUUUCCUAAGGAAUUUUUGGGAGUAAAGGCGGAGGUUACCACGUUAGCCCUAGUGGUUCAUGAUUUGAUGCACGUGCCCCAAGUCCUUGUGGGAACCAACUCACUUGAUGCUUUUAAUGCUAACCAUGCUCGAGAAAACCCAGGAAACCUCAGUCCAGCCCUUGAUGGGUAUCGAGCAGUACUUAAAAUUCUGGAUGUUAGACACAAGCAGAUGAACACUGAAGUUCUGGGAUGUGUGACAUUGGAAAGAAUUGCUCCUAAAGUUGUGUCAGCGGGUUGUAUAGCAGUUCUUGAUGGAGUUGUUCAUCCAAGUUGCUGUCCUGCAGAAACCUUGACAACUUUGAAAUGGUCAGCAAUAUCGUCCAUGCCAGGCGGAUUGCUAGUAGCCAGUGGUCUAUACACUCUGCCUGCUAAACGCUCCUUCAGUCUAUCUGUAUUAGUGAGGAAUGACACCCAGAAUGACAUAGCUGUCCCAAAAACUGUGAUUGCUGAAAUGCAAGCUGUUCAGCAUGCGAUUGACACAAAGCCAAGGUAUGAUGCCCCUCAAACGCAAAUGAAUUCUGCCUGCUCACAGACAAAGUUUGAUUUUGGUGAUUCCCCUUUACCAGCAGAGUGAAGGAGCCGAAUACUGAAUACCGAACUUUGUUGAACACAAUGCCUGAAGUGUUUGCUUUACAUGACAUGGACUAUGGGCAUACAGAUAAAGUGAAGCAUUGCAUCAAACUUAGUGAUGAAACUCCCUUUAAGCAUUACCCUAGGCCUAUUCACCCACAGGACAUCGAUGCUGUUCACAAACACUUACAAGAACUGUUGGCUGCUGGAAUUAUUUGAGAAUCUGAGUCUCCCUUUGCCUCUCCUAUAGGGGUAAUGAGGAAGAAGGAUAAUUCAGUACACCUGUGCAUCGACUUCAGGAAACUCGAUUCCCAAACUAUAAAGGAUGCCUAUGCGCUUACCAAUUUGGAGGAAGUGUUUUCUGUUUUAACCAGCUCAAAAUGGUUCUCUGUUUUAGAUUUUGACGUCGGGGUACUACCAAAUCGAGAUGGAGGAAACGGAUAAACACAAAACAGCCUUUGUGUGCCCUCAAGUAUUCUGGGAGUUUAAAAGAACGCCGCAAAGAAUCACAAACGCUCCCAGCACCUUUCAGAGGCUCAUGGAGCACUGUAUGGGCAAUCUGAACCGAAGACAGGUGCUAGUUUUCAUAGACAACCUAAUAGUUUUUUCAGAAACCCUCGAAGAGCACAAACAUCGACUAGUGCAAGUCCUGACAUGUCUGAAAGAAUAUGGCUUGAAACUUUCACCUGAAAAAUUUUAUUUUUUUUCAGACCUCAGUGCGAUAUUUGGGACAUAUCGUUUCCGAACAUGAUGUGGAAACAGACCCAGACAAAAUUGAGGCCAUUAAAACCCGGCCAAGGCCACAGACUCUAAAAGAGCUAAAAUCAUUCUUGGAAUUUGCUGGGUAUUAUGAGGUUUGUUCAGGAUUUCUCUAAAAUAGUUAAGCCUCUCAACAACCUUACAGCAGGAUAUCCCCCAAUUCGAAAAGUGGUAUGAAAGAGUAAGGACACAACCCGACAAUACUAUGAUCCAAAAGAAAAGCUGGGAGACAGAUGGGGUGAUUCUUGUCAACAAGCGUUUGAGACAAUUUUGGAGAAAUUAACAACUGCUCCGGUCUUGGGAUACUCUGAUCCUAAAUUGCCCUAUAUAUUACAUACUGAUGCCAGCACUACUGGCUUAGGUGCUGCCUUGUAUCAAGAACAGGAUGGGCAGAUGAGGGUCCUUGUUUAUGCAAGUCGGGGAUUGACUAAGAGCGAAGCCCGAUACCCUGCUCAUAAGCUGGAGUUUUUGGCCCUCAAGUGGGCAGUUACCACAAAGUUCAGUGACUAUUUGUAUGGGACUGAAUUUACUGUUGUGACUGGCAAUAACCCCUUAACUUAUAUCCUGACUUCUGCCAAAUUGGACUCAACUAGUUACAGAUGGCUAUCUGGGUUAUCAACAUAUAACUUUAAAAAGCAAUACAGGGCAGGAGCCAAAAACCAGGAUUCGGAUGGGUUGUCUAGGCACCCAAACAAUCAGCUAAUAAAUGAUCUGGAGUCUCAAAAAGAACAGGAGGCUGUGUGUGAGAAACAUCAGGUUAGCCAUUCACAGGAUGGGUAUCGUCCUGUUUGGAUGACAUUAGCAGAAUCCUUGACCAUAAAUGCGGAUGCAUUACCUCAAGAAUUUCAAGAAGAAUAUGAUCAUGUGAUCCCUCACUUCUCUGAGGAAAACUUAGCAAACAGGCAACAAGCAGAUCCCGAGUUGAAAUAAGUACUGAAGAACUUAGACUCUGGUGAAAAACCUCUCAGUAGGAGACUCAACUAGUCCCUCUCACCUUCAAAUGUCUAUGUGGAUGAGACAGUGGAACAAAUUUGUAGUAAAUUAUAGAGUGUUAUAUCGGAAAAGAUUGGAUCAAGGUAGAGUGUUGAGCCAACUCGUGUUACCCAAGGAUUUUCGAGAGAUGGUACUUACCAGUUUACAUGAUGAUAUGGGUCAUCUAGGCCUGGAGUGAACUCUUGACCUCCUCCGUUCCAGGUUCUAUUGGCUGAUUUUAGCCAUUUUGGCUAAAAUGGCUGAUACUGUAGAGAGAAAAGUAAAAACCUGUGAGCAUUGCAUUUGGAGGAAAGCUCCACCGCAGACAGCAACUCCCUUAGUGAACAUACAGACCAGCAGACCCCUUGAGCUGAUCUGUAUGGACUUCUUAACAGUAGAUACAGACAAUAGCAACACAAAGUAUAUAUUAGUCAUUACGGACCAUUUUUACCAAAUAUACUAUUGCAGUACCUAACAAAGAUCAGAAGGCUCGCACCAUUAAAGUCACGAACCAUUCAAGAACUGUGCAAAGUCGCCGGUAUCCGGAAAGUGAGAACAACCCCAUAUCAUCCAAGAAGGAACCCAGUAGAGCGGUUCAACAGGACCUUGCUGCAAAUGCUGGGAACCCUGCAGAAUGACAAGAAAGCCCACUGGAAGGAAUUCAUUAAACUGCUUGUGCAUGCCUACAAUUGCACGAAAAAUGAUGUUACGGGGUACUUACCUUAUGAAAUUAUGUUUGGCCUUGAUUACCUGUGGAUCUCGCUUUUGGACUUCCAGUCAGUAAUUCCUCUCAUUCUCAUUCACAGUAAGUAAAAUCUCUGGGUAGAGGAGAGUAAUAAAAUAUUAUAUUUACACAAAUGCAUAUUCCCAGUUGGUUAAUGAUGUGGCCAAUAGCGAGUCGUCUCCAAAGGAAGAACGGCCAAUGAGUGUGCAGAAUGCGGUAUAGAAAAAAAUUGACUUCUGGAUUGUACACAAGGUUAGCAUGUGAGUUGGAAGUAGCUUUUCUGAUGCGUGCACGAACUUCUGAACUAGAGCAGUGUUCAGUGGUGCUCCGUGGAAAAGAAAGAAAGGAACAUCUUUCUGAGCAAAUUUUGUCGAUAGAUUCAUGAGAAAGAAAAGGAUUUAAACUGGAUGAGAUACAUCUAUGCCUUUCUGGAGUUUUUUGAGUUUAAGGAUUUCCUUGGUAAGGCAUUGCAUGUCUGGAGAAAAUAUUCUUUAUUUGAAGAAUGCACGUAAUGUUUUGACAACAUUCAAGAUAUUUGUGAAAUGUAUAAUGAACAGUGGUUAGAUUAUUUUUUAUUAGUUUUAUAACAUUUUUUAACAUUUUAUUAUAUGAUGUAAUAUGAGUAUUAAUGAUAGUUAUUAAUACUAUUAUUAAUGACCUUGUCUGUUCAAGGUCAGGUUUUUGUUUCUGGUGUGGACUUGUCCAUUGAUUCUGAGGAGGUUUGGACUGGCGAGCCAUUGAGUCUGUUCUUUUCUUUUUCUGAUUUUCUGUGAAAAAAGACCAGUUUGGCUUUUACUUUUUCUCCUCGGAUGGAGGUAUUUUUUCCCCUUUGUUCACGGGUAAAGAAACAUUCACAUUUUUGCUAUGGACAAUUCAACAACUUUGAAGGACUGAAAGGUUAAAAAAAGGUUAUGAAUAGUUAUAACAGAAAAUAAGUGGUCAUAUUUAAAUUUAUUCAUUAUUCAUUUUAGUAUAUUGACUAUUGUGUGUGUGAAAAAAAACCUACCUUGCUGAAGGAAAAAAAGGGUUUUGAAAUCUAAAACAAAGAGAGAUAAGAACAUUUCUGGUUAACAUUGUGGAAAAUAUUGUUGUUUUUUAUUUUCAGUGUUUUGUGUUAAUUGAAACAUCUUACCAGUUGUGUUGUUUUUUUUUUGUAAAAUAUAAACAGCUAAUGAACCAAAUCUUCAGAGUCUGGUCACUGUUGUUGUGGCAUCUUUCUCAGCAGCGAGCUUAUUCUUUUGAGAUGCUGGUCCAUUGGUUUGCAUUGUACUACUUUAUGAGUAAAUUGCACACAGCGAGCGCUACACUGUCAAAAAUGGGGACCCUGAUGUCAAGACUUUUAUGAACUAUGACUUCUAUGCCGUCGAUGGGUUGAAGUCUCUUUCUACAGCGAAGGAAGCAGUAGACUUGCUCAAAAACACACAGAGGACUCUCACUGGUUCCAACUUAUGGCUUCACAAGAUAGCUUCAAACAGAAGAGAAGGCCUUCCUAUCUCAGGAUUAUGCCAGUGAUCUUAAAGAUUUGGAUCUUGGCUCUUACAUGCUUCCUAUGCAAAGUAGUCUUGGACUGAAUUGGAGUCUGAAAUCUGACACCUUUUCGUUCGAAAUAGAUACUGAAACAAAACCCUUUACUCAUUGUGGUGUUCUAUAAACCGUCAAUAGCAUCUUUGAUCCCCUUGGCCUUGUUGCCCCAGUUACAAUCCAGGGCAAAUCGAUCAUGAGACAGCUUAAUAACCACACUGAUGACUGGGAUGCCCCUCUUCCCAAAGAAAUGGAGGAAAAAUGGGACAUGGCGACAUUCAUUUAAGGUUUUAAGUAAACUCCACGUUCCAAGAUGCUACGCAAAUAUAUCACCUUUAACAGCUACAAAAAGGGAACUGAUUCUCUUCUCUGAUGUGUCAACAAAAGCAAUAGCUGCAGUUGCUUACCUUAGAUUGAUGGAUUCAUGUGGAAUCAGUCAAGUCGGCCUCAUCAUGCCCCGAGCAAACAGUUUCUGUUAAACAACCCCCAGACUCUACAUGAAGAGAACACAUAUAAGCUUGUGAGUCUUUCUUCAGAUGCAGAGGUACGUCCUGAGGUUUCCACAUUGAAGACUACGCUGAUGAAUAAUAGUCUUGGAGCACAAUGCUUCUCUAAGUUCUCCAAUUGGAAGUCCAGCACUCAUGCCAUUGCACGUCUGGUUCACAUAUCUGGACAGUUCCAAAAAGGUUCUACAAAACAAACAUCAAGUUGCAAGGGUUAGCAUUACUGUUCUAGUGCUCCAACAGUGGAAGAACUCUUAUAUGCUGAAAAUAUUAUCAUCAAAGCAGUACAACAGGAGGAAUAUCCCCAAGAGUAUAAGAGCUUGGAAACAGGGAAUAAGCUCCCCAGGGAAAGCUCUCUCAAAGCUUUAGACCCUUUCAUAGAUAUAGAUGGCCUGCUAAGAGUAGGAGGACGAUUAACAGAAACACAGAGUUUGUCGUGUGAAAACCCCUUAUAAUCCCAGGUAAACAUCACAUUGCAACACUUUUAGUCAAACAUCACUAUGAGAAACUGCAACACCAGGGACGACAUUACACACAGGGUGCUGUGCCUGCUGCUGGCUAUUGGGUAGUUGGUGGCAAGAGGCAAGUUUGCAGUGUCAUUCAUGAAUGUGUUACAUGCCGAAAACUCAGAAGCGCAGAUUAAAAAAUGGCUGACCUUCCAGCUGAUCGUGUAUCCACUGAUCCUCCGUUUAUGAACGUAGGUUUAGAGGUUUUCAGCCCAUGGACUGUGAUGACACGAAGAACUAGAGGUGGUCAUGCACAGAGCAAAAGGUGGGCAGUAAUAUUCACCUGCCUGAGUGUGAGCAUGGCACCUGCCAUUUAUACUAACACCCAGUGCGCUCUUAACCCAAAGGGUCACAACUGCUCCUGUCCCAGAUGGUGAUUGGGUCAAUACUCUUCAUAACCAACAGUGGGUCAGGGUGCAACACUUGGCACAAACUUUCUGGGAUAAAUGGAAAAAGCAGUAUCUAUCUCUUCUGCAACCAAAAAGAAAGUGGCCCUCUAGUAAGCCUGAUCUUGAAGCAGGAAGUAUUGUGCUUUUGGAGGAUGAACAACAAAAAAGGAAUGAAUGGCCAAUGGGAAUUGUCACUCAAGUCUUCCCAAGGAAAGACAACAAAGUCCAAAAGGUAGAAGUCAAGGUGUUCAAGAAAGAUGGACCUAUGUUUUCAUACGGCAUAUCACUAAGACAGUCCUUCUCCUUGCUCCUGAGAAACUUUAGGUCAGUUCAAAUUACUUGUGGAUAGUGGUGUUAUCCACGGAACAAGUUUAAUUUAAACAGAUUUCAUGUUCAGUGUUUAAUUUAUUAAGAGGUUUAAUUGUUUAUUGAGUAUGUGUAAGGAUGCACAAGUCGAAUCCAUACACAGAUAUUAUUUAUUAAGAAACUCUCAGGCAAAAUCGUAGUCAGAGAACAAGCGCGAGUCAAAACCGGAAAAAACACUGAUGCGGGUAAAGAAAACCGAAAGUGCAAAACGAAGCGAGCAGUAAGAGAAAUAGGCAGGGUCAUACAAGGAACACACCAUUAGAGUGCAUGUGUGGAGUAUUUAUGUUUGUGGGAAACAAGCAGCGUGUCACGUGAUUAAUUAGUAUUCCGGGGAGGGUUCGUGUUGCAAUGUUAUAGUAUGAUUCAUUAAUGGCAGUAACUCUCCUAUUCACUUUAUUGAUGGUUUAGAGCCCCAUCUAGUGGCAAGUUUAGUGUUACUUUAAAAUGCAAUUUCCGGUGUUCACGUGAUUCAGGAAAUAGUUAAGAGCUUCUUAUCGGGCAGCAAUAUUGAUGGCUCUCUUUAAUUGCCAUGUAUCUCUGUAAUCUUUAACCUUGCAACAGCAUUUCUUGUAAGUAUUUAUUUAUUUUACAAUAAUGUUCAUUAUAUCUGUAUAUACAUGUGAACUGUUUUGGAUAAAGUGAAUUUAUUGGCCAUUUUCAUCAAGCUGUUGCAUUGGCCACGUUGUGUUUUGGUGUUGUGCAGCUGUGUUGCGUAUUUGCACAUGGGAAUGAUGUUUGUUUCCAGGCAUCACUGAAUAUUCUGAUGUGAAUGUUAUGACUAAUUUUGUUAGUCUGGACAUUAUUAUUUAAUGUGCUCAUUUGUUUAUUUGUAGUUUCACUCCAUAACCAAGACCAUUAAACCUGUGGAAUAAACUUCUUGUCUUCAGUGUUGUGUGAGGGAAACACCAAAGCUUUGUUGAGGACAGUGUAUAGAGACUAAUUUAUUUUAGAAUGUCUACAUUUGUACUAAAAAAAUAAGCAAUCUCAUUUUUCAUUUUCAUUACGAAGAAGUUUACAGGUUUACUAAGAGGGACAUUUGUUUCAUUUAGAAUGUCUUUCUACAUUUUAGUGUUCUUUUUGAAGGCUUCUUAAUUUGAGUUGCUGCAGCAUUCAUUUAAAAAACAAAACAAAACAAAACUUCAAUUUAAAAGUAUCUCAGCCUCAUAUCUUUUAUUAUUAUUUUUAAUGUUUUAUAUGUUUACCCAAUAAUAGGUUUGGUCUAAGAAAGAAUAGCUAUUUUUUCCAGAAACCUGUAUUUAUAUUUUUGCCCUAUUAGCAUCUGAAAGCCUCAACUAAACUGCAGCAUGGUCUAUUAAAUAACCUGGAGAGAUUUCAUAAGAGUGGAUAAAAGAAGCUAGGGAAUCUGAAAUCAGCCAAAAGUUUAUAUGUGAUUUCUGUAAAUGAAUUAGGGUAAAUGAGGGUAAAGCAAAAAUCACUAAAAUCAGUUAUGACUAGGUUAAUAAAUAAAUGAAUUUUCCUAACAUUAAUAUUAGGUGGAAUAAUGCUGGUGGAAAUUUGCCUUUUGUCUAAAGAAUGUCAUUGGAUAGUUAGAAUCUACCUACCCUCUGACAAAAAAUGACAAGAAAUUUUCUUUAAAGUUUCUAUCAGAUAUGACUAUUACACCACCAGAAUUAUUGGAACAUGACUGAACUUUCAAUUUAUUAAUAUUAUACAUCUUCUCAGGACAAAUGAAAUCGACAUAACAUCCAUAAUCAAAGGAUUAAGUAAAAUAUUAAAAAUUUGCAUGUGCUCUUUAGCAAAAUGUAUAAUAGAAUUGCUUCUAGGAACAAGUGAUCACCUUAAGUGUUUUGCCAUCAGUAAUGGCAUAUGGAAAAUCAAAAUGACUUAAAAUCUUCUUGGCAUAGACUCCAAAAGAUAUAUUCCACAGUGUAAAUAUUCCUUUGAUAUUCUGGUCCAUGCAAACAUGAUUGCAUCAUGCAAUCCCUGCAGGUCUUUCAGGUGCCCUUUCAUGCUAUGAGCCUCCCAUUAAAUCUCAAAGGUGUUCUGUUUGAUUCAGAUUGAGUGACUUGGAAGACUAGUGAAGAAAACUGAACUCACUGAAAUUACACUCUUUUCCAGAGCAAUGCAUAAAAGUCCUUCUAAGUCUCAAUCAAUGAAUAGCAAUAAUUGUUCACCUAGUUACAGACGGAGGAUAUCCAUGAAUCUAAAACUCUGCUUGGAGAAAAAUAAAGCACAUGAUUAAAAAAAUAAUAAUAAAAAAAUAUAUAUGAACAAACAGGAAAAAAAUAAGUGCUAGUUUAAAUAAUUCAAGAAAAGUUGGGUCUUUUGACCCAUCGUUUGAAGACUGAGUGAUUUAGCUGCUUGGGCUUAGGAAGUUCAUUCAACCACCUAGGCACUAGAACAGAGAAGAGUCUUGAUAAUUACCUACUUUGUACCCUGGGUGAUUGUGGGAACAGUUAGCAGUGCUAGAAGAGAUGAGGGGAGGGAUUGUGGUCCUGUUCAAGGACUUAUAAGAGUUUUGAGGCAAGAGGGUGCUGGUCCAUUUUUGGCAUUGUGGGCAAGAGAACUUGCAGGUUAAAAAACAACUCAUGCAGUUGCAUUUUGUAUUUGCAGAGCUUCAGUUGUGCUUAGAGGUAGACCUGCCAGCAAAGAGUUGCAGUAGUCCAGUCUUAAAAUAACAAAAGACUGAGCAAGCACCUAAGAGGCUUGUAUGAAUAAAAAUGGCCAAAUCCUUCUGAUGUAAAGAAGAAACCAACAUGAAGGUAUCAAAUUAGUAAAAUUUGAUAAAAUCUUCCCUGAGAUUGGAGGUGAAGAUGCUGGAUGUGGAGGUCCUGGGCUGGUGUGCUUACACGUGGUCUGCGGUUGUGGGGCCGGUUGGAUGUACUGCCAAAUUCUCUGAAACGCCUUUGGAGACAGUUUAUGGGCAACAGCUCUGGUGGACAUUCCUGCAGUCAUCAUGCCAAUUGCACGCUCCCUCAAAACUUGCGACAUCUGUGGCAUUGUGCUGUGUGAUAAAACUGCACAUUUUAGAGUGGCAUUUAUUGUGGCCAGCCUAAGGCACACCUGUGCAAUAAUCAUGCUGUCUAAUCAGCAUCUUGAUAUGCCACACCUGUGAAGUGGAUGAAUUAUCUCGGCAAAGGAGAAGUGCUCACUUCUACAGUUCACAAAUCUGUCUAAACACAGAUUUAGACAGAUUUGUGAAUGAGAGAAAUAGGCCUUUUGUGUACGUAGAAAAAGUCUCAGAUCUUUGAGGUCAGCUCAUGAAAAAUGGGGGAAAAAACAAGUGUUGCAUUUAUAAUUUUGUUCAGUGUAAUUAACCCAUGUCCACUCAAACACACAUACACCACAAAAUAUGGUUUUAAAGUUUAUAUGAAAAGACACACAAAACAUUUUCAUAGACACAACCCCAAAACAUAAAAAUUGCUGCCACACAAAGACUCAAAGUCAAACAAAUGUACUGUUGCUUUGUCACUGUUGUUUGAAAAUGCGGGAAAGAAAGAAAACCUUAGCUGACCAUUGUUGUCUUGUCUAUAGUAUAAUCCAAAAGUCCUGUAGAUUAAUGUCCAUUGAACUAGCUGCUAAAUAUAAAGAUAAAGAGAAUUUGAAUAAAUCUUCACUGAAAAUAUAGAAUGAUGUAUCAAAAUCCAAAUGAAAUUCAAUCACCACGUGCUGAAGUUUAGGCCUAGCUGCUACUGUCCUUCGUCUGCUCCUUUUUGGUAGAUUAAAGAGCCUUGUGUCUUUAGAGCAAAUUAAUUAAGACUACUUCUUCGUUCGGCUUUUCCCUUCAGGGUUCGCCACAGCGAAUCAUCUCUCUCCACCUACCCUAUCUUCUGCAUCCUCAACACUUGCACCCACUAGCUUCAUAUCCUCAUUUAUUACAUCCAUAUACCUCCUCUUUGGCCUUCCUCUUUGCCUCCUGCCUGGUAGCUCCAUGUCCAACAUUCUCCUACCAGUAUAUUCACUCUCCCUCCUCUGAACAUGUCCAAACCAUCCUAAAGAGAUGGUUGUUGACUUCAGGAGAGCACAGAGCGACCAUUCUUCGCUGUUCAUCGACAGAUCCUCGGUGGAGAUUGUCAAGAGCACCAAAUUCCUUGGUGUCCAUCUGGUGGAGAACUUCACCUGGUCACUCAACACCAGCUCCAUCACCAAGAAAGCCCAGCAGUGCCUCUACUUCCUGAGGAGGCUGAGGAAAGCCUAUCUCCCUUCCCCCAUCCUGACUAUGUUCUAUAGAGGGACCAUUGAGAGCAUCCUGUGCAGCUGCAUCACUGCCUGGUUUGGGAACUGCACCAUCUCGGAUCGCAAGACCCUUCAGCGGAUAGUGAGGACAGCUGAAAAGAUCAUCUGAGUCCCUCUUCCCUCUAUCACAGACAUUUACACCGCACGCUUCAUCCGCAAAGCUAACAGCAUUGUGACUGACCCCACACACCCCUCACACACACUCUUCACCCUCCUGCCAUCUGGAAAGAGGUACCAGAGCAUUUGGGCCCUCACAACCAGACUGUGUAACAGUUUCUUUCCUCAAGCCAUCAGGCUCCUCAACACCCAGGACUGAACUGUUCUACACUCUCUCUCUCUCACACACACACUCACUCACUCAGGACUGAACUGUAUACAACUCUCUGUCUCUCUCACGCACAUAUACACACACACACUCUCUCUCUCGACUGUGUGGAUGCACACACGUAAUUUAUAUUGUUCAUUACUUAUUGCACUACCUCAACCUGUCAUCUGCUGCUACAGUUGUAUUUAUGUUAUGUAUUUUUGCACAAUAUUUUUUUUUUUUACAUCAUUUCAUUUUAUCUUAUUUUAUUUCACUUACAUUCCAUUACACAUGUUCUUUUCUUUCUUUUUUGGCACUAAGUGUCCUGUGUUUUUUGUGUUGUUUUUCUUGUAUUUAUUGUCUUUUGCACUGUCUUGUCUAUGCUCUGUUUGCACCUAGCUGCACACUGUGCACUUUACGUGGCCAAGACAAACUUCUGUCCUAGCUCUGUGGUGUUGUUUUUGUGUUGAACUCUUUGUUGUUGUAUGUUUAUGUAGCACCAGGUCCUGGAGAAAUGUUUCAUUUCACUAUGUACUGCAUCAGCUAUAUGUGGUUGAAAUGACAAUAAAGCUUCUUGAAUCUUGAAUCUGGCCUCCCUAAUUUUGUCCCCCAAACAUCCAACAUGAGCUGUCCCUCUGAUGUACUCGUUCCUAAUCCUGUCCAACCUUGCCACUCCCAAAGAGAACCUCAACAUCUUCAGCUCUGCUACCUCCAGCUCUGACUCCUGUCUCUUCCUCAGUGAAGCUGUUUUCUUUACCUCUUUCCCACACUCUCCACUUAAACUUCUGUACCUUCAUCUCUCCACCCUGUAAUCUUACUGUUCCACUUCCCUCCCUUUCAUUCACACACGUACUCAGCCUUACUACAACUAAUUCCUCUUCUCUUCUGCGCAAACCUCCACCUCUGCAGGUUUUCCUCCACCUGUUCCCUGCUCUCACUACAGAUCACAAUGUCAUCUGCAAACAUCAUUGUCCAACUCCUGUCUGACCUCCUCUGUCAACUGCUCUAUCACCAUAGCAAACAGAAAGGGGCUCAGAGCCAAUCCCUGAUGCAGUCCCACCUCUACAUUGAACUCCUCUGUCUGACCUACAGCACACCUCACCACUGUCCACCUACUCCUGACUUCCACAUACAGUACCACAGCUCUUGGCAACCUGUCAUACGCUUUCUCCAAGUCUACAAACACACAGUGUAACCCUGACCAUCCCUGUACUUCUCCAUCAAAAUUCUCAGAGCAAAAAUUGCAUCUGUUGUGCUAUUUCUGGGCAUGAACCAUACUACUGCUCACAAAUUUUCACUACCUUCCUUAACCUAGAUUCCACUACUCUUUCCCAUAGCUCAACUUUAUCAUCAACUUUAUCCCACUAUAUCUGCUGCAACUCUGCACGUCACCCUUAUUCUUGAAGAUCGGCACUAAUACACUUUUUCUCCAUUCCUCAGGCAUCUUCUCUCUCUAAAACCCUGUUAAACAAACUAGUUAAAAAUUCCACUGCUGCCUCUCCUAGACACUUCCAGACCUCCACUGGGAUGUCAUCAGGCCAAACCGCCUUUCUACUUUUCCAUCCUCUUCAAAGCCUUCCUGACUUCAUCUUUUCUAAUCUUAUCUAUGUUCUGUUCCAGAGUUCAACCCGUCUACUCUUUUUUUUCCCUCAUUUUCCUCAUUCAUCAGCUUUUCAAAGUACUCCUUCCAUCUCCUCUGUACACUCUCCUCACUUGUGAGCACCUUUCCAUCUCUAUCCUUAAUAAAUCUAACUUGCUGCACAUCCUUCCCAUCUCCCUCUCUAGUGUCUAACCCGGUAUACAACUCAUCAUAUGCCUUCUGCUUAUAUGCAAUUAACUCAAAAUAGUACAAUGCAACCCAAUGGACCAGCGUACUAGCAUAGUCUUUAGCUACAGGCGAGUAUACGCUGCCUAGAGCACGCACAGUGAAUAUGACAUCAGCAUCUGAAGUGCUGACAAUACUCAAGGGCAACAGAGGUUUCAGAUCUUUCAUUGCUGAGCUAUGUACAAAUUCUAUUAUAGCCUGCCGAUGAAAUUCAGAUGUUGGAUCAUCUAUAAGCAGAAUUCGACUAAUACUGCCAUAACGCAUGAGCCAUGCUUCUAGAUGUUGGUCAGACUCUCUCAAUGUUAUGCCACUAACUAUGACAGCGUUGGAAACAUUCACGCUCUCCUUCUCAACUAUAUCCAUAAUGGUACUACUUAGAUAGCUUGUUUCACAAUAAAAGUUCCCCUUAAUUUAUUAUACUGAUAAGUCACUGUUGUUGUCAGGCAAUCAAUCUCCUGGCUGGCUCGCCAACUUUUGUGUAACCCUCACUGUAUGCAAUUAACUCAAAAUAGUACAAUGCAACCCAAUGGACCAGCGUCUCAGAAGAAUAUGCUCGCUGCUGAGAAAGAUGCCACAACAGUGACCAGACCAGACUCUGAAGAUUUGGUUCACUAACAGUUUAUAUUUUACAAAAAAAAAAAAAAUACAAUUGGUAAGUUUUAAGAAUUAAUACAAGACCAUGGAAAAAAAAUAAAAUAAAAAAAACAACAACGUUUCCAACGUUUCCCACAACGUUAACCAAAAAUGUUCUUAUUAUCCCUCUUUGUUUUAGAUUUCCAAAACCUUUUUUCUUCCUCCAGCAAGGUAAGUUUUCUUUAACACACACAAUAAACAGUAUACAAAAAAAAAAUAAAGAAAAUGAAUACAUCUGAAUUCGACCACUUAAUUUCUGUUAUGACAAUUCGUACCCUUCAGAUCUUAUCAGUCCUUUAAAAACAGUUGUUGAAGUAUCUGUAGCAAAAAUGUUUCUUUAUCCUUGAACAAGGGGGGAAAAAUUACCUCCAUCCGAGUAGAAAAGUAAACGCCAUUCAAUUUCCUACCAUUCGCAGAGUUCACAAACAUAUUUUAUUUCACAGAAAAAUCCAAGAACAGACUCAAUGGCUCGCCAGUCCAAACCUCCUCAGAAUCAAUGGAAGGCCGGGACAAUCCACACCAAAACCAAAAACCUGACCUUGAACAGACAAGGUCACAAAACAAUCAUUAAUACUCCCAUUACAUAAUAAAAUGUUAACUAAUAAAAAUAAUCUAACCACUGUUCAGUAUACAUUUCACAGAUAUCCUGAAUAUUGUCAAUAUGUUACAUGCAUUCUUCAAAUAAACAAUAUUUUCUCCAGACCUGCAGUGUCUGUGACUGUCAUUUUUUCCCAUAUAACACACUCUUAUAUAGAACUGAACACUAUGCAUUAAUAAAUGAUUACACAGUUAGCUACCAUUUACUGAAUACAGCAUCACACAUCUAUAACAUACAUAAUUCACUCUCAAAAAUGUAAAUUAUCUUGUUUUUUGCUCCAGCUUAACAGAAAUAGCAUAACUAUAACUAAUAAAACGGCAAACUGGCUUACCAAGGAAAUCCUUAAACUUAGAAAACUCCAGAAAGGCAUAGAGGUAUCUCGUCCAGUUUAAAUCCUUUUCUUUCUCAUGGAUCUAUCGACAAAAUUCGCUCAGGAAGAUGUUCUUUUUUUCUUUCUUUUUUUUUCGCGGAGCACCAACGAGCACUGUUCUAGCUCAGAUGUUCAUGUGCGCACGAGAAAAAGCUAAUUCCAGUUCACAUGCUAACCUCGUGUACAAACCGGAAGUCAUUUUUUUCCUAUAUCGCAUGCUGCACACCCAUUGGCUGUUCUUCCAUUGGAGACGACUCGCUAUUGGCCACAUCAUUAACCAACUAUGAAUAUGCAUUCAUGUAAACAAAACAUUUUAUUUUAAAUUAUACUUAUUUACUUUCAAUAUCUUUCACAUUAAUAUGUUCUAAUAUAAUAUAUAAUUGUAUAUAUAUUUUUUUCUGUUCCCGUUACUCCCUGGUAACCUUGGUUACACGUUACCUCCUGAACCAAAGCAUGUCCCUGUGCUUGGGAGUGGCCAAGUCACACAGGUAAAACUGCACUGGGCUCUGUAUUGCGAUACUUAAUAUAAUCACAUUCCUCCACUAACUCCGUAAGUGCCGAGCUUAAUCCUUGCAAUAAAGACUGAAUGACUGACAUCAAUGGAUUUCCUAACCGUGCAUACUGCAGCUUGUCUGGUGGUCUAGUCUGCCUUUGUGAGCGCUUUGGUCUCAUAUCUCCUGCAUCAUCUGCCACCAUUGAAAUGUCUGGAGUGUGUCUGACAGGAGGUGACUGAAAAUGAGGAGUGGUGUUUUCCACGUGAUUCAGGUACAGUUUCAUUGACCACUUCAAACGACUCAUCAGCUAGCUCACUUGAGAAAUUACGUUCUUUUUCUAAGGUUACCUCCACUAAUCCAUCCUCUCUAUCCUUUUCAGGUUCAACCCCAGAAGCGUUUGGGUCUGCAUGAAACACCUCAGGUGAGUUCCUUUCUACCUCAUCACUGUUUAAGUUUGUUUCAGCAGGUGCAGCUUCUCUUAAAUGAUCAGGGGUAACAAAUGGUGGAUUUUCGGAUGCAACUUCGGGUAAGUUCCUUGAACACACUGAAUGGGGUGUUGGUCUCUCUUCCAGAAUAACUUUUGUAGUGAACUCUAAUGACUCUCCAGGUACAUCAAAGUGGACAGAUUCACUUUCUGAUUCAGAAUGACUAUGCACAGCUUCUGCUUCAGCAGCAUCUUCAAUUCUGGACUGAGCUCUAGUUCUAGGCCUACGAUGUUCUUUCUGCUGGACAGAUUCUUCAGACUCCGUGUUAGGCAAAAAACCACAGGGCAAAAGCAAAUCACGAUGCAAAGUACGCACCGGACCUUCCUUUCCUUCUGGGCAAACCGUGUACACAGGAAUACUACUGCUUUUCCUUAACACAACAUAAAUGUCAGGCUCCCAUCUGGCCGCUAUUUUGUGUUUUCCCCUUAGCCGGACAUUCCUUACUAGGACUCGAUCACCUAUAUCCAGAACUGAGGCAACAACAUUUCUAUCAAAUCUCUUCUUAUUUCUUUCCGCCACCUUCAAAGCAUUGCGAGUGGCGAGCUGAUAGCGCUUCUCUAACCGAUUCUUAAGAGAUUUUACAUACUGCGAGUGAGAAUGAAAGGAAUUACUCACUGGAAGUCCAAAGGUGAGAUCCACAGGUAAUUGAGGCUGUCGGCCAAACAUCAUUUCAUAAGGCGAGUACCCCGUAACAUCAUUUUUCGUGCAAUUAUAGGCAUGCACAAGCGGUUUUACGAACUCCUUCCAGUGGGCUUUCUUGUCAUUCUCCAAGGUUCCCAGCAUUUGCAGCAAGGUCCUGUUGAACCUCUCUACUGGGUUCCCUCUUGGAUGAUAGGGGGUUGUUCUCACCUUACGGAUGCCGGCGAUUUUGCACAGUUCUUGAAUGGUUCGUGACUCAAAGUCUGGGCCCUGAUCACUAUGCAAUUUUUCUGGGAAGCCAUAGUGUAAUAAGAAAUGGUCCCAGAGACAUUUGGCCACAGUUCGAGCCUUCUGAUCUUUGGUAGGUACGGCAGUAGCAUAUUUGAUAAAAUGGUCUGUAAUGACUAAUAUAUCCUUUGUGUUACUACUGUCAGGCUCUACUGUUAAGAAGUCCAUACAGAUCAGCUCUAGAGGUCUGCUAGUCUGUAUGUUCACUAAGGGAGCUGCUCUCUGUGGUGGAGCUUUUCUUCUAAUGCAACGCUCACAGGUUUUUACUUUUCUCUCUACAGCAUCAGCCAUUUUAGGCCAAUAGAACCUGGAACAGAGGAGAUCAAGAGUUCGCUCCAGACCUAGGUGAUCCAUAUCAUAAUGCAAGUUGGUAAGUACCAUCUCGCAAAGAUCCUUGGGUAACACGAGCUGGCUCAACACCCUACCUUGAUCCAAUCUUUUCCGAUAUAUCACUCCAUUAUUUACCUCAAAUUUAUUCCACUGUCUCAUCCACAUAGACAUUGUAGAUGAAAGGGCCUUCCUACUGGGAGGUUUUUCACCAGACUCUAAGUACUUCAGUACUUCGUUCAACUCGGGAACUGCUCGUUGCCUGUUUGCUAAAUUUUCCUCAGAGAGGUGAGGGAUCACAGGUAGACCAUGAUCAUAUUCUUCUUGGAAUUCUUGAGGUAAUGCAUCCGCAUUUAUUGUCAAGGAUUCUGCUAAUGUCAUCCAAACAGGACGAUGCCCGUCCUGUGAAUGGCUAACCUGAUGUUUCUCACACACAGCCUUUACUGCUUCUGGAAGGAUCACAGGCAGAUCUUGGUCAGUUUCAGCUAGGUGGUUCAGAGCGAAUUGCUUAAUUCUCUCCUGUUCUUUUUGAGACUCCCGAUCAUUUAGUAGCUGACUGUUUGGGCGCCUGGACAAUCCAUCCGCAUCCUGGUUUUGGGCUCCUGCUCUGUAUUGUAUUUUGAAAUUAUACGCUGAUAACCCAGAUAGCCAUCUGUAACUAGUUGCGUCCAAUUUGGCAGAAGUCAGGAUAUAAGUUAAAGGGUUACUGUCAGUCACAACAGUAAAUUCAGUCCCAUACAAAUAGUCACUGAACUUUGUGGUAACUGCCCACUUGAGGGCCAAAAACUCCAGCUUAUGAGCUGGGUAUCGGGCUUCGCUCUUAGUCAAUCCCCGACUUGCAUAAGCAAGGACCCUCAUCUGCCCAUCCUGUUCUUGAUACAAGGCAGCACCUAAGCCAGUAGUGCUGGCAUCAGUAUGUAAUAUAUAGGGCAAUUUAGGAUCAGCGUAUCCCAAGACCGGAGCAGUUGUUAAUUUCUCCACAAUUGUCUCAAAUGCUUGUUGGCAAGAAGCGUUCCAUCUGUCUCCCAGCUUUUCUUUUGGAUCAUAGUAUUGUCGGUUCGUGUCCUUACUCUUUCUUACUUUUCGAAUUCGGGAAUAUCCUGCUGUAAGGUUGUUGAGAGGCUUAACUAUUUUAGAGAAAUCCUGAACAAACCUCCUAUAAUACCCAGCAAAUCCCAAGAAUGAUUUUAGCUCUUUUAAAGUCUGUGGCCUUGGCCAGGUUUUAAUGGCCUCAAUUUUGUCUGGGUCUGUCUCCACACCGUGUUUGGAAACAAUGUGUCCCAAAUAUCGCACUGAGGUCUGAAAAAAUUUACAUUUUUCAGGCGAAAGCUUCAAGCCAUAUUCCUUCAACCGUGUAAGGACUUGCACUAGUCAGUGUUCGUGCUCUUCAAGAGUUUCUGAAAAAAUUAUUAGGUCGUCUAUAAAAACUAGCACCUGUCUUCGGUUCAGAUCACCCAUACAGCGCUCCAUGAGCCUCUGAAAGGUGCUGGGAGCAUUUGUGAUUCCUUGCGGCAUUUUAUUAAACUCCCAGAAUCCUUGAGGGCACACGAAGGCUGUCUUGUGUUUAUCCGUUUCCUCCAUCUCGAUUUGGUAGUACCCCGACUUCAAAUCUAAAACAGAGAACCACUAUGAGCCAGUUAAAACAGAAAACACUUCCUCCAAAUUGGGAAGCGCAUAGGCAUCCUUUAUAAAAUCGAUGCACAGGCGUACUGAAUUAUUAUUCUUCCUCACUACCACUAUAGGAGAGGCAAAGGGAGACUCAGAUUCUCGAAUAAUCCCAGCAGACAACAGUUCCUUUAAGUGUUUGCAAACAGCAUCGACGUCUUUUGGGUGAAUAGGCCUAGGGCGAUGCUUAAAGGGAGUUUCAUCACUAAGUCUAAUGCGAUGCUUCACUUUAUCCGUAUGCCCAUAGUCCAUGUCAUGUAAAGCAAACACCUCUGGCAUUGUGUUCAACAAAGUUGAUAUUCGGCUCCUCCACUCUGCUGGUAAAGGGGAAUCACCAAAAUCAAACUUUAUCUGUGAGCAGGCAGGAUUCAUUCGAGUUUGAGGGGCAUGAUACCUUGGCUUUGUGUCAAUCACGUGCUGAACAAGAUGCAUUUCAGCAAUCACAGCUUUUGGUGGAACAGCUCUGUCACUCUGGGUGUCAUUUCUCACUAAUACAGGUAGACUAAAUGAGCGUUUAGCAGGCAAAGUGUAUAGACCACUGGCUACUAGCAAUCUGCCUAGCAUGGAUGACAUCGCUGGCCAUUCCAAAGUUGUCAAGGUGUCUGCGGGACAGCAACUUAGAUGAACAACUCCAUCAAGAACUGUUACACUACCCGCCGACACAAAUUUAGGAGCAAUUCGUUCCAAUGUCACACAUCCCAGAACUUCAUUGUUCAUCUGCUUGUGUCUAACAUCCAGAAUUUUGAGUACUGCUCGAUACCCAUUUAGGGCUGGACUGAGGUUUCCUGGGUUUUCUCAAGCAUGGUCAGCAUAAAGAGCAUCAAGUGAGUUAGUUCCCACCAAGACCUGGGGCACGUGCAUCAAAUCAGGAAACACUAGGGCUAAUGUGGUAACCUCCGCUUUUACUCCCAAAAAUUCCUUAGGGAAUGUUAGAGUGAGCUCCACAUAGCUCAAGUAGGGAACUGACUGCCCAUUUGCUCCCUCUACUUCAAGUAAAGACUCUAAAGAUUUCAUAGAGCGAUUCGGGAGAUGAUCUUGAUAAAAGGAAAGUGGGAUGGUGGUUACCUGGGAACCUGUAUCCAGCCAACAAUUUACUGGAGUUCCUUCAAGAACUACCUCAGCAGUACAUUUCAUUCCAACCAAUCCUCUUGGUACUUUCUUAUGUAUCACUGCAUCCGAAAAUUUAUUGUACACACUUUCAGGUUUGUUAGGGCAUGUGGGUCUUGCUUCAGUUUCUGUAAGCCCCGCUACAGAGACUGCUUGUAGUUUAACCGUGGGGAUGCACCUCGGUUUUUCAGAUCCCACUGAGCCUGUCUUUCUCUCAGCUGAUUUCGUUUGCUCUCGACUUAUAUGACCAUCCUCUCCGCAACAAAAGCAAUAACCUGGAUGAGGUCAAGCUGAGGUUAACUCACCACUGUUGGCUAAUUUACUUCCUUCAUGUAUAGCUUGUUUGGGCUGUGACAUUACAGAAGGUCUUUUGAGAUGAAAUGCUCUUUCAGGUUGAAAAUUCUGCGAUCUUGGGACAGUGAGUUGAUCUUUUAACUCUGCAACCUGUCUUGUUAGUUUGGCAAUUUCCUCAGCCUCUGAGCUUCUGUUCGAGACCUUCUGUGAAAAUGCAGCUUCCAUAGCUUGAACCUGGGCUCGCAGCUCAGCCAGUUCUUUUUUCAGUGGAGUCACAUCGACCACUUUGGAUCAAGCAGGCUGGCAUUUCUGGUGAGUCAGUGGUUGCAUGGAAGCAAGUUGGGCGUGAACUUCUGAUAUUUGCUUUCUCAUGGAAUCCAUUUCAGUAGCUGCUCUGACGACUACAUCAGGUGAAUGAGCGGACAACUGAUGAGUGGCAGCUCGUGACCUGGAAGGAACUAGACUUUGUUUAGUCAAUCCAAAAUGACCUCUCAUCCGAUCUUCUUUUGAAGCUUGCCUGUCUUUCUCUGUUCUGACAGACACUACUAGCUCCGCAAAUGGUGGGUUAAUCUUCUUUCUUUCUAGCUGAAGAUUUGCUAUUAAGCCAUUAUCCCAGCACCCACAACAGAACUGUUUCAACAAACAGCGAUCACGCUCGCCCUCUGCAACACCACCUCUCCUCACCACUGCGCUCAACAUCACUCGUAAUCGAUGCAAGUAGCUGGAAGGUUUCUCUCCCUGAUUCUGUAGCAUUGUCAUGAACUUUGCCAGCAACUCUUCCCCAUCCUCCACUGAUCCAUAAACUGAUUCCAACAACUCUAAAUACACAGAGGGUGAUGACUGUGGACUAACGUGUUUGAUUACGUCAGCAGCAGGUGGAAGCAAGCUGUCUAGGAUUCUUCUUGUACGAGACAAGUCUGAAACAGAUGGGUCAUCCAGAAGGAAUUCCACACUUGCUCUCCAUGUUUCAAAAUCUGGCUCAUUUGGUGGGCGCGGAACUUUCCCUGAGAAAGAUCUGAGGCGUAGAGAAGUAUGCUGGGCUGUCACAUCACUUGUCCUCACAACAUGCUACUAUAACACUCUGCACACCUGGAGGAUCUAUCAUGUCCAUAGUCAAAGCUGGACGUGACAUCCCGGUGGCUGCAGAAUGGUUAAUUCUGCCACUAUCAGGUACAGUAUUUAUCUCAUUUUCCUUGGACAGGUUUUGUAUUCUUUUGGAUUUAGCACCCAGCAAUGGAGAAACAUCUGGGGAAAGAAUUGUGUCUCUACCGUCUCCCAAUCCAUAUGACACGGCAGGUGACCCACGGUCAUUGAGCGAACUGGCAGUGCCGAGUCCCCGAGUUUGGGAGUCUGCUGUGAGACAUCCCUGUCUCUCACUCAAUUUAGGCAGCUGUCCAGUGGGAGGACCAAUUGACUUCAUCUUCACUGACUCCUCUUGAAGCACUGUGUCAGUAGUGUUAGCAAUGACUUUCAGCUCUGCCAAAUAGCCUUUACUAGCAUAGUCUUUAGCUACAGGCGAGUAUACGCUGCCUAGAGCACGCACAGUGAAUAUGACAUCAGCAUCUGAAGUGCUGACAAUACUCAAGGGCAACAGAGGUUUCAGAUCUUUCAUUGCUGAGCUAUGUACAAAUUCUAUUAUAGCCUGCCGAUGAAAUUCAGAUGUUGGAUCAUCUAUAAGCAGAAUUCGACUAAUACUGCCAUAACGCAUGAGCCAUGCUUCUAGAUGUUGGUCAGACUCUCUCAAUGUUAUGCCACUAACUAUGACAGCGUUGGAAACAUUCACGCUCUCCUUCUCAACUAUAUCCAUAAUGGUACUACUUAGAUAGCUUGUUUCACAAUAAAAGUGACCCUUAAUUUAUUAUACUGAUAAGUCACUGUUGUUGUCAGGCAAUCAAUCUCCUGGCUGGCUCGCCAACUUUUGUGUAACCCUCACUGUAUGCAAUUAACUCAAAAUAGUACAAUGCAACCCAAUGGACCAGCGUCUCAGAAGAAUAUGCUCGCUGCUGAGAAAGAUGCCACAACAACAGUGACCAGACCAGACUCUGAAGAUUUGGUUCACUAACAGUUUAUAUUUUACAAAAAAAAAAAACAAUACAAUUGAUUUCCAAAACCUUUUUUCUUCCUCCAGCAAGAAAAAUCCAAGAACAGACUCAAUGGCUCGCCAGUCCAAACCUCCUCAGAAUCAAUGGAAGGCCAGGACAAUCCACACCAAAACCAAAAACCUGACCUUGAACAGACAAGGUCACAAAACAAUCAUUAAUACUCCCAUUACAUAAUAAAACGUUAACUAAUAAAAAUAAUCUAACCACUGUUCAGUAUACAUUUCACAGAUAUCCUGAAUAUUGUCAGUAUGUUACAUGCAUUCUUCAAAUAAACAAUAUUUUCUCCAGACCUGCAGUGUCUGUGACUGUCUUUUUUUCCCCAUAUGACACACUCUUAUAUAGAACUGAACACUAUGCAUUAAUAAAUGAUUACACAGUUAGCUACCAUUUACCGAAUACAGCAUCACACAUCUAUAACAUACAUAAUUCACUCUCAAAAAUGUAAAUUAUCUUGUUUUUUGCUCCAGCUUAACAGAAAUAGCAUAACUAUAACUAAUAAAAUGGCAAACUGGCUUACCAAGGAAAUCCUUAAACUUAGAAAACUCCAGAAAGGCAUAGAGGUAUCUCGUCCAGUUUAAAUCCUUUUCUUUCUCAUGGAUCUAUCGACAAAAUUCGCUCAGGAAGAUGUUCUUUUUCUUUCGGAGCACCAACGAGCACUGUUCUAGCUCAGACGUUCAUGUGCGCACGAGAAAAAGCUAAUUCCAGUUCACAUGCUAACCUCGUGUACAAAC